GUACCGGCUCAACACUCCACACCCUGCCAGAUUGUUGAAAUAGACUUUGCUACCCAGCUGCCCGGGAACUUACCCACCCGAAACCCUCACCUGAACCCCCCAACCCAUUCGGCACCGGUCUCCUCCCCACUCGGAUCCCCCAUUCCGCCCGGACCCCCUCCUGGAACCCCCGACCCAUUUCCUUCCCGGCCGCUGGAGCUGCAGCAGUCAACCGGCUGCUCCCUGCCUCCCGGAGCUCCUCCCGGAACAUCACCUGCGAGACGCCGUCUCUGCCCGGCCAGUCCAACACCUCGGCCCCCCGGAUCGUCAGAGUGCUACGUCUCGUUCCCUCCGAACCCCUCCUCCUCCAUCGAACUCUGAGCCCUUUGACGUCUGGCCGCCAGGGAGCCCCCACAGCCAUCUGCGACGCUCCGGUCCCGCCCGGACCUGGGACAACCGCCGAUCCCCGUCCCCAGACCCACCCGGCCACAUCCUCCCUCCACCAGCAUCCCUGUUCCUGCAUCCCGGUCUCUGCACUCCAGCCAUAUCCACCCCUGUACAAUAAAACCCUUUUUCAACUUC